rnacentral:rRNA from 1 species
UACGGAGGGUGCAAGCGUUAUCCGGAUUCACUGGGUUUAAAGGGUGCGUAGGCGGACAUGUAAGUCCGUGGUGAAAUCUCUAAGCUUAACUUGGAAACUGCCAUGGAUACUAUAUGUCUUGAAUGUUGUGGAGGUUAGCGGAAUAUGUCAUGUAGCGGUGAAAUGCAUAGAUAUGACAUAGAACACCAAUUGCGAAGGCAGCUGGCUACACAAAUAUUGACGCUGAGGCACGAAAGCGUGGGGAUCGAACAGG